rnacentral:rRNA from 1 species
UACGAAGGGGGCUAGCGUUGUUCGGAUUUACUGGGCGUGAAGCGCACGUAGGCGGAUCGAUCAGUCAGGGGUGAAAUCCCAGAGCUCAACUCUGGAACUGCCUUUGAUACUGUCGAUCUGGAGUAUGGAAGAGGUGAGUGGAACUGCGAGUGUAGAGGUGAAAUUCGUAGAUAUCGAGAGGAACACCGGUGGCGAAGGCGGCGAUCUGGACGAUGACUGACGCUGAGACGCGAAAGCGUGGGGAGCAAACAGG